rnacentral:rRNA from 1 species
UACGAAGGGGGCGAGCGUUGUUCGGAUUUACUGGGCGUAAAGGGCGCGCAGGCGGUUCUGUUUGUCGAGUGUGAAAGCCCCGGGCUCAACCUGGGAACUGCGCUCGAAACGGCAGAACUAGAGUUCGGGAGAGGAGAGUGGAAUUCCCAGUGUAGAGGUGAAAUUCGUAGAUAUUGGGAAGAACACCGGUGGCGAAGGCGGCUCACUGGCCCGAUACUGACGCUGAGGUGCGAAAGCGUGGGGAGCAAACAGGG